CCCGCUGAACUUAAGCAUAUCAAUAAGCGGAGGAAAAGAAACCAACAGGGAUUACCCUAGUAACGGCGAGUGAAGCGGUAAUAGCUCAAAUUUAAAAUCUGACCUUUACCGGUCCGAGUUGUAAUUUGUAGAGGAUGUUUCGGGCAAGACAAAUUUGGUUUAAGUUUCUUGGAACAGGACGUCAUAGAGGGUGAGAAUCCCGUCUAGAACCGAUAGUCGAGUCCAUGUGAAACUCCUUCGACGAGUCGAGUUGUUUGGGAAUGCAGCUCAAAAUGGGUGGUAAAUUUCAUCUAAAGCUAAAUAUUGGCCAGAGACCGAUAGCGCACAAGUAGAGUGAUCGAAAGAUGAAAAGCACUUUGAAAAGAGAGUUAAACAGUAUGUGAAAUUGUUGAAAGGGAAGCGCUUGCAACCAGACUUGUGUAUAACGGUUCCCCCAAUCAUUUGAUUGGGUUAUUCUGUUAUAUCCAGGCCAGCAUCGGUUUGGAUGGUUGUUUAAAGACCUUAGGAAUGUAUCUACCCUUCGGGGUCGACUUAUAGCCUAAAGUGUAAUACAGCCUAUCUAGACCGAGGAACGUGCUUUUUGCUCGGAUGCUGGCAUAAUGGUUGUAAGCGGCCCGUCUUGAAACACGG
rnacentral:rRNA from 1 species